rnacentral:rRNA from 1 species
GAUGAACGCUAGCGAUAGGCUUAACACAUGCAAGUCGAGGGGCAUCGAGGGUAGCAAUACCUGUCGGCGACCGGCGCACGGGUGAGUAACGCGUAUGUAACCUGCCCGCAACAGAGGGAUAACCCGGCGAAAGUCGGACUAAUACCUCAUAAAACAGGGGUUCCGCAUGGGACUAUUUGUUAAAGAUUUAUUGGUUGCGGAUGGGCAUGCGUACCAUUAGGUAGUUGGUGAGGUAACGGCUCACCAAGCCAUCGAUGGUUAGGGGUUCUGAGAGGAAGGUCCCCCACACUGGUACUGAGACACGGACCAGACUCCUACGGGAGGCAGCAGUGAGGAAUAUUGGUCAAUGGUCGAGAGACUGAACCAGCCAAGUCGCGUGAAGGAUGACUGCCCUAUGGGUUGUAAACUUCUUUUAUCAGGGGAAUAAAAUGAGAUAACGUGUAUUUUAUUGCAUGUACCUUGUGAAUAAGUCGGCUAACUCC